GACGAACGCUGGCGGCGUGCCUAAUACAUGCAAGUUGAGCGCUGAAGGUUGGUACUUGUACCAACUGGAUGAGCAGCGAACGGGUGAGUAACGCGUGGGGAAUCUGCCUUUGAGCGGGGGACAACAUUUGGAAACGAAUGCUAAUACCGCAUAAAAACUUUAAACACAAGUUUCAGUUUGAAAGAUGCAAUUGCAUCACUCAAAGAUGAUCCCGCGUUGUAUUAACUAGUUGGUGAGGUAAAGGCUCACCAAGGCGAUGAUACAUAGCCGACCUGGGAGGGGGAUCCGCCACAUUGGGACCGAGACACGGCCCAAACUCCUACGGGAGGCAGCAGGAGGGAAACUUCGGCAAUGGACGAAAGUCUGACCGGGGAACGCCGCGUGAGGGAAGAAGGUUUUCGGAUCGGAAAACUCUGUUGGUAGGGAAGAACGUUGGUGAGAGUGGAAAGCUCAUCAAGUGACGGUAACUACCCAGAAAGGGACGGCUAACUACGUG
rnacentral:rRNA from 1 species